UAGUAAGGGAUGGGGGGCCAUGUGUCAUUUUCAAGUUGGUAGGCCUAGGGAUUGUACUUUAUUUGCAAAAGUCAGUGCCGAUUUUAGUAACAAAGGGGGAAAAUUCAGUCUUUGGUCAUUUCAGUAUAUUUAACGUGUGUCUAAAUCUACAUGUUUGGGUAACAAUAGAUUUACAAUAGAUAGCAAUACAUUUACUAUCUGUGAAUACUAAUUCUUUGCCACCGCAGAUAUGGAAAGCAUAUUUUAUGAGAUGUAGGGGAGUUAAUAAGUGUGUUGUCCCCAGGGGUCAGUGGGGGAGAUCCCAGGUGGCCCACCAGGCUUACACUGUUGCUUGUAGAAUGCCACUCUCCUCUUUAGGCAUUCUAAUGAGCAAGUCCUUGAGCUCUGUUUGAAAUGGUCUCAGAAAAUAUACCCAGACUAUUUCUAAAACUACCAUUUCCGUUGUUCCCUAUUACCUACGAGAUAAAGUCAAACUUGUCAACAGCAUUCAGCUCCCUAGAAGAGCUGGCCCCAGGAAGUGUCUCCACACCCUCCUGCACUCUUACCACCCCAUGCCACCAGGUGCACACUCACGCUUUCUGUCACUAUCUCACCUGCAGGACCAUUCCCUUUGUGGGAGGUAGAAAAAUUCCUCUUCAAAGUUUCCUUUCUUGUUUAAAAAAAAAAUGUAUAAAAGUUUGUUUUAAACACUUUCUUCAAAACCCUUCUUGCUCUUUGCUAAAAGCCCUAUCCUAUGUAGCGUUAGACAUGCUUACAGGCACGUAGUACAUUCUAUGUCCUUGUAUGUCUGAAAUGUCUGUGCUGGAUGUGCUCACAGGCAUGUCCCAGCCUGCGGCCUCUGCCCCUUCCCUAUUUGGAUUUCCUUUUUUUGCUCUCCAUUGCUUUUACCUGUUUAAAAAAGUUUCAAGUUAUUAGCCAAUCAAAUUUUAAAUUGUGAGGUCUGGCUCCAGCCAAUGGAAAUCAAACACAGUAGUAAAAGCAACCCCAAAUGCAUAAAAAAUAAAUAUGUCUGCUUUCCUUUGUUCGUUGUACUCUUGUGGCGGAAUUGCUAACAGGGGUUCCCUUUCUGCAGGAAGUAAAAAAAAAAAAUGCUUUGCUAAAAAAAUCCUUGGUGCCAGUACUAAUUUUUCUUUGCGGCACCAAAAAGAAAAAUUUUACACAUAGGCGCCGGGGCUGCUGCUGUCAUGGACACCUGGGUCUGCUUCAGUGCUCAGAGCCAAGCCCGGGAGCGGCUGUGUAGGGCCGCCCAGUAUGGUUGCUCUCUUCUUGGCCAUGCGCUGCAGAGGCAUGGAGCCAGUCCUGAGUUACAGAAACAGAUUAGACAGCUGGAGGGCCACCUGAGCCUUGGAAGAAAGCUUCUAUGCCUGGGUAACUCAGCAGAUGCUCUUGAGUCAGCCAAAAGAGCUGUUCACCUGUCAGAUGUUGUCCUGAGAUUCUGCAUCACUGUUAGUCACCUCAAUCAAGCCUUGUACUUCGCCUGCGACAAUGUCCUGUGGGCUGGAAAGUCUGGACUGGCUCCUCGUGUGAAUCAGGAGAAGUGGGCCCAGCGUUCAUUCCGGUACUAUUUGUUUUCCCUCAUCAUGAAUUUGAGCCGUGAUGCUUAUGAGAUUCGCCUACUGAUGGAACAAGAGUCUUCAGCUUGUAGCCGGCAACUGAAAGGUUCCGGAGGAGGCGUCUCAGGAGGAAUUGAAACUGGGGACUUGGGGGACCAGGGACCCCAGGAGGAGGUCUGCCCCAACUGGCUCUGAAACUUCAGCUCCAAGUCCUGCUCCUGGCUCGAGUCCUUAGAGGUCAUCCCCCACUUCUGCUGGAUGUGGUCAGAAAUGCCUGUGAUGUCUUCAUUCCACCAGACAAACUAGGCCUCUGGCGUUGUGGGGCUGUGUGGCCUCGUGUCCUCCAUCCUGUCUUUUCGCACCCUAAUCUAUCCCUGGCUACGACUCAAGCCCUGACUUUCUGGUACACGAUAAGGAGGGGACCUAAAUUGGUGAGAUGGAAUCUUAGAGCGUCUCUCAUGUACCAGCCUCCUUCUAGUUCUACUUAAAAAGUUAAAAUUAGAAAUUCAGAGAUUUGGGGUGGAGGAAGAGCUUUGGGGAAGAUGAGGUGAGGAAAGGUGCUAUGAAGUUAAUAGGAUGACUCUAAUUUCUAGAUGAGCCUGGGCUUCUGUUCUUUUCCUCUUUCAUUGUCUGUGUCUCUCUUGAAUGUAUUUACUUUGUGCCUCUUAGGUCUAUUUAAGAUUCUGUGUCUAUCCAUCUGUCUCUUUUUUUUAACCUUCUCAUUCUAUCCAGAGAUUUAAUCAGCAGAAUUACUUUUUUAGGGGAAGGAUAAGAUUUUGUCUGUAAGGUUCUGCCUUCUUUUUUCUCGCAGAGCUGGCUUAUGGCAGAGUUUUCCUUCUUCACACUCCAAAUCAUAAUUUUUAAGACUUUAUGUGCCAGUGGACUCUUCCCUCAUAUCUCUGCACCACAAGUUGUUUGACGUUUCCUCUUCCUCCCUCGUGGCUACCUCACCAACCUUGCUCAUGAUUUGGCCCUUAUCCUUCCCUGUACUCAUACCUUCAGAUUUCUGCUGACACUGAUUUCAGAGCUUUAUUCCCUAGCCUGUUCUUACCCCUCCAUUGCUUAUCCAGAAUGAUGCUGUGUCUAGCAUCUUGCUGUAAAUACUGCACAAUGAUUCUGUGUAAAUAGAUGUGGCCUGUGCCAAUAAUGCAGAGCAAGCCUUUCAGGUAAACAAAUUAAAGUUCAGUUUGCUCAUCAAAAAAAAAGAAAAAUUUUACACAUAACACCCCUUUACCAACUGGUCAGUCCCUGCCUGUCCUUUAAGGCCCAGCCACAUGCUGUCUCCUGCUCAAGGAUGACCUUCAAAAUUGCCCCCCUCCUUGUAGCUCUGUCCUGACACUUUGCUCACUCUGACAUCACAUUGUCCCUUUAUUUUGAGGCUUGGUCUCCCCCAGCAGACUGUCAACUCCUUUAGGAGGUGAUUUCAUGUUGGUCAUCUUCUUUGCCCACCGGGGCCUAACAUAAUAGAAG